rnacentral:rRNA from 1 species
GACGAACGCUGGCGGCGUGCUUAACACAUGCAAGUCGAACGGAAAGGCCCCUUUGGGGGUACUCGAGUGGCGAACGGGUGAGUAACACGUGAGUAACCUGCCCUUGACUUCGGAAUAACUUCAGGAAACUGGGGCUAAUACCGGAUAGGAAUCCUUGCUGCAUGGUGGGGGUUGGAAAGCUUCGGCGGUUUUGGAUGGACUCGCGGCUUAUCAGCUUGUUGGUGGGGUAGUGGCUUACCAAGGCUUUGACGGGUAGCCGGCCUGAGAGGGCGACCGGCCACAUUGGGACUGAGAUACGGCCCAGACUCCUACGGGAGGCAGCAGUGGGGAAUAUUGCACAAUGGGCGGAAGCCUGAUGCAGCAACGCCGCGUGCGGGAUGACGGCCUUCGGGUUGUAAACCGAUUUCAGCAGGGGCGAAGCUUGUGGUGACGGUACCUGCAGAAGAAGCACCGGCUAACUACGUG